rnacentral:rRNA from 1 species
AUGGCGGCGGGGGCGCAGCAGCCGAGCAUAGUGCCCACAGAGCUGGAGCAGCAGAUUUUCGGGCGCCUUCUCGAUGUUGUCCACCACGGAGGCCUCGGCACCCAGCUCCGCGUCGCCGGCGGAUGGGUCAGAGACAAGCUAUUGGGGAAAAACUCUACUGACAUUGACAUCGCGCUUGAUGACUUGACCGGCAAAGAAUUCUGUGAGAAAAUAACUGACUACUACGAGAAGGUUAUCAGCCAUGAGCUGAAAACACCUUGUGUUAUCCCAUGCAAACCUGGCCAAUCUAAGCACUUGGAAACCGCAAAGAUAAUACUAUCUGACAUCUCUGACAUCACGAUUGAUUUUGUCAACUUGAGGUCUGAAAAAUAUGCUGAAAACAGUCGUAUUCCCACUGCGGAGUAUGGUAUGCCCGAAGAAGAUGCAUUCCGCAGGGACCUAACAAUUAAUAGCUUAUUCUAUAAUAUCAACACGAACUUGGUGGAAGAUUUAACUCGAAGAGGUCUUGAAGAUCUGAAGAAAGGCCUUAUUGUUACUCCUUUACCAGCCAAAGUUACAUUCCUCGAUGAUCCCCUGAGGGUUCUUCGAGCAAUCCGAUUUGCUGCUAGAUUCAGCUUUACAUUAGCUGGAAAUUUGAAAGAAGCCGCUUCUGAUGAAAAAGUGAAGUUGAAUCUUCGUAGCAAGAUUAGCAGAGAACGCAUUGGUCAGGAGGUUGACCACAUGAUGUCAGGCAAAUAUCCGGUUGAUGCAAUGUGCCAUAUCCGUGAUUUGGGAUUAUUUUACAUUGUUUUUGCAUUUCCUGAAAAAACAGUUCCUCCAGUUCUCGACAAACAUGAUUGGCUAUGUGUUUCACAUAUUGAAGCAGCAUGGAAUCUUGCACAAUCAAUUGGCUGCUCGGUUUUCAGAGGUGGUUCUGGUUCCAUGUCGCAGGAUGAACAGAGAAGGCUUUGCAUGUAUAGUGCACUAUUUACUCCAGUUCGAAAUAUGGUGUACACGAAGAAAAAGGAGGUCGUUCGCUAUAUUAUUGGAAACUCUCUGAAGUUGAAUGGUUCUGAUGCUGAAGCGAUUGUCCAAAUACAUGCUGCAAGUGACAAGUUUGCCGAUUUAAUUAUUUUCCUCGAGUCAAAUGGAAAUCUGGAAACUGUUAAAGAGAACCCGAAUGACCCCAUCUCAUUCCGAUGCUUUACCACCUUUGAGGACUGCGGUGGAGGUGUCUUUGAAGUCCGCAGUGCAAAUGGUUCCUUCAGCCAGCAGGAUGAGCUAAAUAGAAGGAAAGAGAUAUAUAUCAGAGUUGAGCGUUUAAUAACUGACCUCGAUCUUGAAGGUGCAUGGAAGAAGAUCAAACCGCUGCUCGAUGGGAACGACAUUAUGGGAGUUUUGGACAUCGAAGAAGGUCCCUUGGUUAAAGAAUGGGUAUACACUGAUGCUUCCCUUCCCUUUAAGGAAAGGCUAGUGAAGUGGCAGCUUGCGCAUCCCAAAGGUACCGCGGAGGAGUGCCGUGAGUGGAUAAAGCAGUCCAAAUGUCAGGAAAAGGAAAUGUAG